GAUGAACGCUGGCGGCGUGCCUAAUACAUGCAAGUCGAGCGAACAGACGAGGAGCUUGCUCCUCUGACGUUAGCGGCAGACGGGUGAGUAACACGUGGAUAACCUACCUAUAGGACUGGGAUAACUUCGGGAAACCGGAGCUAAUACCGGAUAAUAUAUUGAACCGCAUGGUUCAAUAGUGAAAGACGGUUUUGCUGUCACUUAUAGAUGGAUCCGCGCCGCAUUAGCUAGUUGGUAAGGUAACGGCUUACCAAGGCAACGAUGCGUAGCCGACCUGAGAGGGUGAUCGGCCACACUGGAACUGAGACACGGUCCAGACUCCUACGGGAGGCAGCAGUAGGGAAUCUUCCGCAAUGGGCGAAAGCCUGACGGAGCAACGCCGCGUGAGUGAUGAAGGUCUUCGGAUCGUAAAACUCUGUUAUUAGGGAAGAACAAAUGUGUAAGUAACUAUGCACGUCUUGACGGUACCUAAUCAGAAAGCCACGGCUAACUACGUG
rnacentral:rRNA from 1 species